AUGUGCUGUGAGCUCGAUGAGUAGGGCGGGACACGUGGUAUCCUGUCUGAAUAUGGGGGGACCAUCCUCCAAGGCUAAAUACUCCUGACUGACCGAUAGUGAACCAGUACCGUGAGGGAAAGGCGAAAAGAACCCCGGCGAGGGGAGUGAAAAAGAACCUGAAACCGUGUACGUACAAGCAGUGGGAGCACCCUUUGGGGUGUGACUGCGUACCUUUUGUAUAAUGGGUCAGCGACUUAUAUUCUGUAGCAAGGUUAACCGAAUAGGGGAGCCGGAGGGAAACCGAGUCUUAAUUGGGCGUUAAGUUGCAGGGUAUAGACCCGAAACCCGGUGAUCUAGCCAUGGGCAGGUUGAAGGUUGGGUAACACUAACUGGAGGACCGAACCGACUAAUGUUGAAAAAUUAGCGGAUGACCUGUGGCUGGGGGUGAAAGGCCAAUCAAACCGGGAGAUAGCUGGUUCUCCCCGAAAGCUAUUUAGGUAGCGCCUCGUGAAUUCAUCUCCGGGGGUAGAGCACUGUUUCGGCUAGGGGGUCAUCCCGACUUACCAACCCGAUGCAAACUGCGAAUACCGGAGAAUGUUAUCACGGGAGACACACGGCGGGUGCUAACGUCCGUCGUGAAGAGGGAAACAACCCAGACCGCCAGCUAAGGUCCCAAAGUCAUGGUUAAGUGGGAAACGAUGUGGGAAGGCCCAGACAGCCAGGAUGUUGGCUUAGAAGCAGCCAUCAUUUAAAGAAAGCGUAAUAGCUCACUGGUCGAGUCGGCCUGCGCGGAAGAUGUAACGGGGCUAAACCAUGCACCGAAGCUGCGGCAGCGACACUCAGGUGUUGUUGGGUAGGGGAGCGUUCUGUAAGCCUGUGAAGGUGGCCUGUGAGGGUUGCUGGAGGUAUCAGAAGUGCGAAUGCUGACAUAAGUAACGAUAAAGCGGGUGAAAAGCCCGCUCGCCGGAAGACCAAGGGUUCCUGUCCAACGUUAAUCGGGGCAGGGUGAGUCGACCCCUAAGGCGAGGCCGAAAGGCGUAGUCGAUGGGAAACGGGUUAAUAUUCCCGUACUUGGUGUUACUGCGAAGGGGGGACGGAGAAGGCUAUGUUGGCCGGGCGACGGUUGUCCCGGUUUAAGCGUGUAGGUGUGUGUUCCAGGUAAAUCCGGUUCACUUUAACACUGAGGCGUGAUGACGAGGCACUACGGUGCUGAAGCAACAAAUGCCCUGCUUCCAGGAAAAGCCUCUAAGCAUCAGGUAACAUCAAAUCGUACCCCAAACCGACACAGGUGGUCAGGUAGAGAAUACCAAGGCGCUUGAGAGAACUCGGGUGAAGGAACUAGGCAAAAUGGUGCCGUAACUUCGGGAGAAGGCACGCUGACACGUAGGUGAAGUGAUUUACUCA
rnacentral:rRNA from 1 species